rnacentral:tRNA from 1 species
GAGGGUAUAGCUCAGUGGUAGAGCACAUGCUUAGCAUGCACGAGGUCCUAGUUUCAAACCCUAGUAACUCUA